UACGUAGGGGGCGAGAGUUCGUCCGGAUUUACUGGGUGUAAAGGGUGCUCAGGUGGGAUUUGUAAAGGUCAGAGGUGGAAAUCCCAAAGCUUAACUUUGGAGCUGACCCGUUUGAUACUCGGCAAAGUCUUGAUGUUUGAGAGAGGGCAAUGGAAUAUUCUGGUGGUAGCAGUGAAAUGCGUAGGAUAUCAGAUAGAACACCAAUGGCGAAGGCAGUUAGCCUGGACUCAAAACUGACGCUAAAGCACGAAAGUGUGGGGAGCGAA
rnacentral:rRNA from 1 species